CAGGAAGUAAAAACACGUUUUUUAAAGUUUGACCAGAGACAGAGUUUGACCUGUACUGCAGCCAGCCACCAGGGGGAGCAGUUUUGGUGGCGGCCUCACUUCAAGCCGAGCGAGGACACGGGGAAAGUUAUUUAAGAAUCACUCCGAACAGCGUCCCUAAAGUAACUUUUAUUGAUCUUCAACAAGAUCAUCACGUCGUGCCUGAUGAUGAAGACAUCUCACGCUCACAUGAGGAUAACUCGCCCUGAGAGAGCUCACGUUAACACGGGGCUCUGUGGGGACGGACUCACCCGCAGGACGCUCACUAGUGGACACUGGAGGAACUGCAGCUUCUGGGACUUUAUCUGAACAUGGUUAUUUAGUCCCAGAAGUUCAGAGGGCUCCAUCUAGUGGCAGAAAUCCUGCAGCACAUCCACUCAGACCACACACCUGAGCAGGUGUGACCUGAGCAGGUGUGACCUGUUGUCAGACCACACACCUGAGCAGGUGUGAUCUGAGCGGAUGUGACCCACCCACUCAGACCACACACCUGAGCAGGUGUGACCUGCCCACUCAGACCACACACCUGAAGUCCAUGAAGAAACUAAAUCCGCCUUAUCUCCCGUCAGCGACACAAACGAUCACUUCCCACAACGACCCACUGUUUGAAACCAACAGAGUCCGCUCACGCAGAGCUCUGUGAUUGGCAGUUUGUAGGAGAGAUGCACUCUGGGAGUUGUAGUUUACUAUAGAGAAUCCACAGCUGAUCAUCUUUGGUUUCAUGUUAACCUGAAAAUAUGAAGACUGUUACUGCAGGAACCAGGACCAGAACCAGAACCUCCCUCUGCUGUCGGCUCCCCUGUUAGCCUCUCAGUUAGCAGCUGUGACCCUCAGACUCUGAACUCUGAGCUCUCUGGCGAUGACCUCGUGACCUCGCGGCUCUCUUUGGCUCCAGCACGCCAGCGUGUGGUUUGACGAGUUUUUGAAUCUUAACCUGAAAUAAUCUAAUAAGUGAAUGUGUUAAUGCUGGAUAUAAUAAAUGUGCCUCGUUCUUUAAACUCCUCCCACCUGAUGUGAUGUCACGCAGGUGAUGUAGUCCGUCUCCACCUGAGGCCGAAGCGUCCUCUCUGCGUACGUGGCGCUCCGCCUGCCGCCCGGUCUGCUGGGAGCAGCUAAACUGUUAGCAUGCCGCUGCGUGGUGCAGCUGCAGAAAUCAAACGUCCCUCUGUGACCCCACAGACCCGCCCCGCACAAACACAGUAACCAGCCACCAUUUUGCAUGUUCCAGAGUUUAGUGCCUAUAAUAUUGUGCGUCUUGCCAGAAGCCACCAUGUCAGCCAAGCCAUGUUGUGUUUCUAGAGUAGUAGUGAUGUGUGUGGUGACUUCAUAGUUGCUAAUAUUGAGGAUGAAUAUUCUGCUUCACUCUGAAUCAGUGAACUCCAAACACUGUCGCUGUAGACUCGACUAGUUUUUACCUGUUUUCUUAUUUUACUUUCUAACUAAAGCGUUUGUUGUCCCCGA